rnacentral:sRNA from 1 species
UGCAUCUGAAGCCUGACGAGGAUGAGAACCUCCGGGGGCAAGAGGUUCGACUCGAGCGCAGCGAGAGAACGUUGCGUCAGCAACGGCCCGCAGGGCAAGCCACGCAGUGGCGAGUCAUCCUCUAUCACCGACCA